AGAGUUUGAUCAUGGCUCAGGACGAACGCUGGCGGCGUGCUUAACACAUGCAAGUCGAACGGAAAACAUAGCAAUAUGUUUUUAGUGGCGAACGGGUGAGUAACGCGUAGACAACCUGCCUCAAAGAUGGGGACAACACCGCGAAAGUGGUGCUAAUACCGAAUGUUGUAUUUGGGAUGCAUAUCCUGGAUACUAAAGGUGGCCUCUUUACAAUGCUACCGCUUUGAGAUGGGUCUGCGUCUGAUUAGCUAGUUGGUGAGGUAAUGGCUCACCAAGGCGACGAUCAGUAGCCGGUCUGAGAGGAUGAACGGCCACACUGGGACUGAGACACGGCCCAGACUCCUACGGGAGGCAGCAGUGGGGAAUCUUCCGCAAUGGACGAAAGUCUGACGGAGCAACGCCGCGUGAGUGAAGAAGGCCUUCGGGUUGUAAAGCUCUGUCUUCGGGGACGAACGUGUUUAUGGUAAAUAAUCAUAGAUAAUGACGGUACCCGAGGAGGAAGCCACGGCUAACUACGUGCCAGCAGCCGCGGUAAUACGUAGGUGGCAAGCGUCGUCCGGAAUUAUUGGGCGUAAAGCGCGCGCAGGCGGGAUAUCAAGUCUGUCUUAAAAGUUCGGGGCUCAACCCCGUGAUGGGAUGGAAACUGGUAUUCUUGAGUGUCGGAGAGGAAAGUGGAAUUCCCAGUGUAGCGGUGAAAUGCGUAGAUAUUGGGAGGAACACCAGUGGCGAAGGCGACUCUCUGGACGAUGUCUGACGCUGAGGCGCGAAAGCCAGGGAAGUGAACGGGAUUAGAUACCCCGGUAAUCCUGGCCGUAAACGAUGGGUACUAGGUGUAGAGGGUAUCGACCCCUUCUGUGCCGGAGUUAACGCAAUAAGUACCCCGCCUGGGGAGUACGGCCGCAAGGUUGAAACUCAAA
rnacentral:rRNA from 1 species